AGCCUAAGUUAGUUACAGGAUGAGUAACACAAUAAACAUAAGAUAAAUUUAUUCAGGUUAGGGUAAAAAUUUUAAGAAAUGCUGCCAACUAGGACUAGGAACGUCAUCUGCUACUUGCCAGAGUGGAUGGUGUUACUGUGUUUAUAAUGUGUUCUUACCUACUUAGUCCAGAUGGAUUGAGGUAUGCCUGCUCCUCCUGUAAUCCUACCUCCAAUGGCCUGGCUGUGGGAAAAGGAGAGGAUUUCUGGUUUCUUCUUUGGAGAAUGCCUUAACCACAAGGUUAUAAUGGAGCAGGAGAUCUGGUAAGAAGCAUCAGAUGGGAUCUGUGUGGGGAAUGUAAGCUGAAUGAAGAGAUGAUACAAUAUAGAUCUGUAGAAGGUAGAAUUCUGUAUUACGGCCUUCUCCAAGUCAUCAUCAACUUACACACCUGACUUACUGUGUGGCCCAGCUCAAUGGGGUUGUCCUGACUGGGAUCAUAAGCCCGGAGUGGAAUUUCAGCCCUUCACGGCCAGCCCAGCCACAGCGAAUGGAGUGGAUGCUAACCUGUCUUUGGCCAUAAGUGGAAGCAUUCCCUGAAGGAGGGAAGGCUGCAGAUCCACGAUUCACAGAAGGUAACCUAGAUGGAGAUCAUGGAGUUUGAUGGAUCAGCUUUCUCACCUUUUCGUUCAUGAGUAUUGCUCCAAAACUUCCAGAAAGCAAGCACUUAGACCUUAGUCUAGCAAAGCAGUAAAGUGAUGCCUUCAAAGACAAUGUCACUGCACCUAGAGUUCCGCUGACGAGCUGAGGCCCUAAUUCAUGGCAGGAUUCAUCCACAGAUGUCUGUUUUGGCAUAAAUGCAUGUAUUAUGGUUUGCUACACUUGAGUUUUCCAUCAGAUUUUAAUGUCAUAUGAGAUCACCUGAGAUGGAAGAAGCAGGUAUAAGUGACCUCAAAUUCUGUGUGUCAUUUGUCUCACAGGGAAGGUUAGCAACAUUAAUCUUUGAGAUAACUACAACAAAAAAAACAUAAAUAGGAGCAGAACAUUGUGUUCCUUUAUCCACAAAGUGUAUUAGACUAAUCCUGCCACGUGAACAAUCUACCAACACAAAUAAUGUUAUCACACUGAAAUCUCCAGCCAACUAUUCCUGUCUUUGGCAAGGCUCUUGCUGUACAAUGAGGUGACCUCAGGUUGGGAAGAGAUCCUCUUUUGUCAGAUAUGCAUGCAUUUAGUAAGGAACAGCUCAAGCCAGUGCCUGGGAGAUGUACAACAAGGCAAGUGGAAAAACUGAUAGAGAUGUGGGAAAGUGUAGAUUUAUACAAAAUACAUACUGAUGAAGUUAUCUUCCAGCUGCCAGAACAGCUGCAGAUGCCAGUAAAUGUUUACAAAACACAGUAGAAGAAGGCGGGCAGCAGAUGCUUAACGGCAUAUGGGUUAUAGCUCCGAAUUAGACAUUAUUGAUUGUAAAUGCCUCACUGCAAGCCUACGUAUGUAGACAUAAAUGUCUCUGUACAAACAUUUGGAAUACCUGGAAAACUGACUUAAGUAGCUAAUGCAAUCUGUUUUGAAAGCUACUGGCAUUUCCACUUGCAAAAAAAAAAAUGUGUUUUAUGUCCUAAAAUGUACUUGAGAAUAACACUCAGCAUAGAAAUCUCAGUAUAACAUGAGACUAAAACUUGCCCUUUUUGAAAUGAGCUGCAUGUGAAGGAGUGAAGUCCAAUAUUCCUUUACUUACGGGCAGCUCAGCGGCAGUGGUUGUUUUUCUGCAGGUGAGUGCCCACAUGCUAUCAGCACACACCCAUGCACUUCAGCUAGAUCCCAAACCAGGAUCUCUAGGGCUUUUCCAUCCUCUCCUCUGCAUUUUCCAAGCUUUUGUAAUCCCCAAAACAAACCAUAUCAGGAGUCACAAUGAGGGAAAUAAAGCAUCAGAAUAUUAAGAUAUUAUUUCUAUCAGAAAUAGCUUCCCUAAAGGUGAGAUAUUAGAUUUCAAAUCACUGGGUGGGGUUAAACUCUUAUUUUCAAGUCAAUAGUGGAAAUCUACUGACCUCAACGCAAAGUAAGUUAUUCCAAGAAAGCCGGUAGAAACAUUGAGCUACUUAGUUUUAAGUAGCUGACUAUCUCAAAACCAGAGACAAAAUACCACACUAACACAAAAAGUUUACUCUUUGUGUAUUAAGGAGAAGAAGAAGUUGGUACAGCACAUGAGGACAGAGGCACAGGAGGGAGAUAAGGUAACUUCUGGUUUUAUUUUAUGUUGUCAUCAAAAACUGCAGCUGACAACACAUUUGCGGAGAGUGUAAAUGAACUUGACCCAUAUAGGGAAGUUAAGUAAUAAGGGAUCUGUACUGUUACAUGUACUGCUGCUAGCAAAGGACAUUGACGGUACUGACAGUACUGCACAGAGGGGAAGAGAGGGGAAGCGGUGUGCAGGGCAGUACCUGAACGUCCGGGAGUUCCUUCUCGAGAAUUUCAGUCUGGUGGACAACACAGACCAUCAUGUAUUUACACACAAUCAGCAUUGUAUCAAUACAUAAAGAAUAUUACAGAUAUAAAUCUGUGCCAAAAGAGCACAAUUAUGGAUUGGACAUGCAAAAUUGGACAUGCAGAAGAAAUGUUGGAAUUAUGGUUCCUUGUAAAAUUUUGCCUAGUCUUCCCUGAGUAUAUGCAUCAUGACAUGGUCUUUAAAUCUAGGAUACGCAUACUGCUUUGAUCUCAAAAUAUGUUUUAUAUGUAUACUGUUUCCCUCGCUCAGACAUGGCUGCAGCCAGCUCACGCUCCUGGCUCUGCAGACCGUUUGCAGGUAGGUGACGCACAGAAUCCGCCUGGAACUGGUAUUUUUUGGUGCCCUUCUGCUUUCUGUAGUUUCUGUACUGCUUUGCCAUCGCACAGUAUGUCUAUAAACAUAACCUGCAGUCACCUUUUGUACUUUCUCAUUUUCUCCCCAGGCGAGUGUGGUCUAGUCUGGACUUUGCAGUAAUCUCUGAUGUACAAGCAAAUCUAUUCCAGUGAUGCAGGAAAGGAGUCGAGACCUCUGUCGACAGGCCGUCCCUGUCGGUAGGAGGAGAUGCUGGGCUCUGCCUUAUGUUCCACAGCAGAGCGGAAUUUUGCACAGACCGGAGGGACUCAGUUCCUCCCUUAACACGUGCAGUGCGAUUUCAGAGCCGAAGUGCUUGAAACAAAACCGAUAAUAAGGGGUGUCUGAUAGUGGAAAUGCCUUCCUGCCUUUCUGUGAGAUAGUGUGCAGCACCGCUCUCCCGUCUGGCCAGCUCAUGGGCAGGAGCUCCCCAGCCUCCUUCAGCCGCUGUCAAAUUCUUGUUUUACCUGGGUCCUCUGCUGAGCCUACCUGAACUGUUGAUGGGCUUCAUGUGAGGGCAAAGAUCUGGAUUUGGUGUGAGAGGGAGACGGAGUUCUGCUAGGAGUCUAGCUACAGAAGCAAAGAGUGAACUAGCAAUGAAGAAAGACCUCUACUUUAUAGCACUUUGCUAAAGUUUCUUGGAGAUAUGUGUCUUACACUAGCAGGUUCUUCGAAAGAUUGAUUAGAAGUCCUUGAUGGUUUUAAGGAAGAAAAGGCAAGAAUAUAAAGUCUUGUGUUACAAAAGUGCUUUGUAUGAUUCUUCAGAGAUUUUAUUUUUAAAAAAUCUCAUUGUAUAUUAACUAUUCUUUUUGUGCACUUGGUCCUCCCCCAUCCUCUUGAUGGGUUUUGAAAUGUUUAAUAGAAAGUAUGAACGUAUUUUAUUAUACUUAUUUAUUUUCUGCCUCUUACAUUUUGCAAAGAUGCAGCAAGGUUUAGAACUAAAUUACAGACCUUGUUUAAAAAUGUGCAGGUUCAGGAGUUCUUAUGAAAAAUGUUUGGGUUUGGGGACCUGCUUGCUUUUUUUUUCUUUUUUUCUUUUCUCUUUUUUCUUUUUUCCUUCCCCUCUCUAACUUUUUCUUCCUGCUAUCACCCCAUGGAGAGCUUUUGUGUGCUAAAAAGUAAUGUAAACCCAACAUACUUAGGUCAGUCGCAUCAGUGUGAUCAGCCCCAAAACCAUAUAGGCGCAGGUGCAAGGUCUGGACAGCAAAUUUCAGAAAAACUACCUUUAUGUUGCAACUGCCUCAGUAUCCGCACACCACGCAGUGCCCAACUCCACAAAGUGUCCCAGGAAGCCAACGAAACCCCCGACAGAAUAAUGUGCUGCUAAACGUGAUCAAAGCUGUUUGCAUCCAACUCACGGUAACCAAAGAAGCCAGCCUGAAAACCUUCUCCUUUUCAUGUCGCCACUGAUUGCGUUAGGGAUUACAGUAAAAAGGCCCUUGUUUGUGGGACUUGGCAAUACCUGAGCUGCAUUAAAUAGAAGUGUUUCACAGAUAGGUGAGAGACUCCCAUGACCAGCAAAGCCUGCACCCAAGUUCUGAUGUGGCAAAGACCUGGGAGAUGUGACAAAUUCAGCAGCUUGAGUCACUGUGCGCUGCUUCUGAAACCAUUUAUCUGGCCUCAUCAAGGCAGUUCCUACCUCCUUUUGCAGCAGUUCGUGCUAGUCCAUCUGCACUCUUUGGGUGCAGCGUUGCCCUGGCCAGAUGCAGCCGUGGGGGCUGCUGUCCCAGCUGCUGGUCGCAGAGGUCUGCGACAAGGCUGCUGCUGCAGGCGCUACGAGAGGUCGGUGGCUCUUUCACCUCGUGUGCUCACCAGCUGGGAUUUGACAGAUGUUAAGCCAAAGAUAAGGCGACAAAGCUGCUGUCUGUGUUUCUGGAUUUGCAUGUAGCUCCAUGCUCACGUAUUACCUACGAAGUCUGCCUGCAGUUUUUUCCGUAAUGUGCCUUUAUUUUGGCAGUUUCAUUUGAUUUUUUUAUUAGUCUGAAACACUAGGUUCAUAUAUCACAAGGGGAUCCCACCCCUGUCUGUGGUGUUGUGUCCAUAAAUGGUAUUUGAAUCUAUAAACUGACUAAAACAGUUGCUAUUUUAAGAAGCUGCUGCUGAAAGCCUGGCUCUUACCCUCCAGAAUUAGGUCUAAAUAAUAAUUUUUAAAAGCUCAAAAUUGGUUAGAGUUGUGUUGUUCUGUUCCAGCAGACAUCUGCAUUGCAUAAACAGAGGUUUCAAGCAAAGGCAAUGAAACUGCACCAUCUUAAUAGCAAUAUUACUCCUAAAUAUAAAAAAGUAUGAUCUCCUCUUAAAUAGUAAGAGAAAGAGUAUUUGGGUUUGGGGGAGUAUUUUCCUUCUAGACUUUUGGGAGUCAUAUUUCAUCCUUUGUUCUGCAAUAACAAAUGUUAUAAACUAUUUUUUUUUAAAAAAAAAAAAAAAAAAGACUUUGUCAUGUUAAGCUGCGAAGCUACAACUCUGAGUGCAGAAGGUCUCAGGAAAGCAGGGGAGGUCACAGAAAUCGGAAACGCUGUCUGAGGACAGCACAUUUUUGACCUACCUGUGGUGCUAGGUCAUAACCCUACAGAACUGAUUCUGAAGGAAAAUCUUGAGUCUUAAACUUUCACUUUUUGUUUUUAACUUGCCUAAAACUUGCCAAAUAAUCCCACUAGAGUAUAUUACUAAAUACCCACUUACCUGACCUGCCGUGACUGCUCUGUGCCACGGUGCUGGCAGCAGAGGGGAGGUGUUUCCGAACCGCCCCACUUUUACUGCUCGGCUCGGGAAGUUGUGUCAGCAGGUCGCGUCAGUGGCAGCGGGCUGACCGGGCUCGCGGGGCACGGCGACACCCCGGCGUGAAUCAAAAGGGAAGGGCCCCUUUCAGUAUGUAUAUCCUGCUCUGUAGCAGUGACUGAUGUGGAAAAUAUUAAGAAACAGCAUAAUGAGCAGCGUAUGUGGGAGUGCUGCGCAUACGAGGGACCUCAUUGAAAAAGUUUCACGCAGUCUGACAACUGUUUUAAUGUCGUUUAAAUCUACAGAGCGAGGACAAAAAGGCUGCACCGAAGCUUUCUGGACGGUCCUGUGUGAACAGCAGAGUAAAGCAAGUAGAGGGAAUCGGGUUGCCUUUCUUCAACCGAGUAUUUCCUUCGGGUUUGUGCCGAGCAGAGUGUGAGCAGUGAAGGCUGCACCUCUGCGUACGGAGGGGAUAACGUGAGCCCAGGCGGACCGCGGUGGUCCCCGCUCCUGCCGGCUGGGACCGCGGGAGCGACGCAGGCGCUGCAGUGUGAAUGGCGUCUCGGCGCGUGCCGGCGCUCGCGGGGACGUGGACGUAGGGCCCAGCCAGCUGCAGGAUUCCUAGUGACCACGUCCUGGAGUUAGCAGGCUCCUCCGAGGGCCAGAUGCCUAUCGGAGCUGUACGCGUAGGCUUAAUGCCGCGUGCUGUCGAGUAUUUGAGGUCUCUGAAUCAUUUCUGAACCUUUUACUGAAUAAACGAAGUAGCUGGAGCUGAGGAACAGUUUUGCCAGCACAGUCCUGCCUCCACCAUGCGCCCUUGACCCAGCGCUUGUGCUGAUACUAGUGACACCAACGGGAAGGUGGUUUAGGGAGCAGCUCACUUUCUGGUUGCACAAAUGCCAGAGCCAGCAUCCUGCGGCAGGUGGGAACGCGUGGGUGGCUGGCUGAGAGAGGGUAUGAUUACAACACCCUAAAUUUAGAUGGGAAGUCCCCAGCUUAAGCUGUGGUGGAACUACAUUCCGGUCUUUGACAAUAAGACAUGAUUUUCAGACCUCAUUUUUGCAGUUUAACGUUGUUUUUACCUCUUUCUCACGUGUCUUGCAGUAUGCUACUCAUGACUCAAGUAUGCUGGCAACUUUGAUGUAAUAUAGAAAUAAAUCCCUACAACAAAGACGAGGCGAGCGCUGUCAUGUUGAAGUGUUUGGACAUGUUGAUGAUAUUAAAUGUUAGUUCUAGGGUCACACAGUACAAGUAUAUAUAGAGAACUUUUAAUAACUUCGAUUUUUUACCAUUUGCAAACAGCUGCACUUCUGUCCCUUCCUUAGCUCUGCAUUUCAGCUGCUCUGUCAGUGUCUCAGUUUGUGUUUACAGGAGCAUGUGAGAGAGACAAAUAAAAUAUGCAGCUUGCGAGCCCUAACUGCAACCUCAGCGAAAGCCUGAAGAAGCUUUGGCUUUGCAUGAACUCGUUUUGCUUCCUGGAGCUGCACAGGAGGUUGAAACCUCUGACUUUUGGGGGGCUCCGCCCCGUCAGCGCCUCUCUCGGGAAGGGCCUUAGCCCUCAGGAGCAGUGACGGACCCUGGACCGUGGAUGGGGAAGCUCCUCCUUGGCUGUGGGACUUGGCUGGGCACCAGAGCCAGCAGGAGCAGCCCUGGGGUCACAGCCCCCCCUCGCACUGCAUCCUCCGCCAGGUCCAUGCAGUGAGCGGGAUCCAGGGGCUGGAAAGAAGAGGGAAAAAAAUAUAUAUUAAUCUAAGUCCUACAUUAAACCUGUCGAUACUUUUGGCCUCUGGAAGAUCCUGUGACAUCAAGUCCCACAGAAUAACUACAGCAUGUGUAAGACGUGCUCCCGUUUUAUUUUAGAUUUAAUUGGGUGCGAGAGGCUUCCUGUACUGCGAGGAGCGGGGAGGAUUUUUAUCCGAUUUCUCCGCACUAGCUGUAACGUUACAAGCUGACCCCUCAGCUGCUGUGUUUUCUGGGCUGCAAGUCCCGGCUCGGCUGGGCGCGAGGGAGCGCAGCGUGUAGCUGGCCCCGAGGAGCGACCGCCGCUCACCCACUCCCGGCCCCGCGGGGCCGUGAGCCAUUCGGAUUUCGCAACUUGGGCCUUUCUGCUCGCCUCCUCGUUCCCGUGGGCUCGCCUGUGGGGAGGACGUCUUGGAAAGGGAAAGUUGCUCAGUGCAGUAACGGGAUUUGUCCCAAGUGCUCGCUACUGAAGUCAGCAGGAGCGCGGCAAAGCCAAAAAUUGCUCUGGAAAACUGCGUGGAAGAUGCCUGGGGAUUUUGUACCUUUUUUUUUUUUUUUUUUUUUUUCCCCUAUCUUGCCACAGUAAUGUAGGGUGAUAAAAUAAGACUCAGCAUUAGGAAAUUGUUCUAGAGUUAACUCAGGUUCAUUUAAAACUUAAAGCAUAAUAGCUGUUCCUGAAUAUCUCUGUUACCGGAAACUUAUUCCAAGUAAGAAUACAGUUUAGCUUAAAGUAAUUCCCCGAAUGGGCUAAAAUAAAUGCAAAAAAGACAACUAUGUACCAGAAUCGGAACAUUUCUCUCCUGGACUGGAUAUUGGGGAAUAUUUUCUUCCACAUUAACUAUUCCAGCAAAUUCUCCUGUGAAAAAAAUGUUUAACAGAACUGUGGAAAGAAUUAAUCCCCCCCUUUUUUUUCCCCCCAGUGAACUGAAGCAUCAUUGUAACCUCAUUGAAUCACUUCAUAUUUUCCCAGACUUAAGAACCAGGAAGGAUAUUUUGGAACUGAAAAGUCAAAAUUUCUAUUACAGUGAUGCUUACAAAUGGCAACCUUUAUACCAACCACCUCUUUUUGAAACAUCAUCUACUCUUUUUAGCUCAAAAUUGCCAUUGGAGUGAAAGACCCAUUUUUCUUUUUAGUUUGAGAAGCAAGAAAGUUUUGUCAGUAAUUUCCAUUUUUAUAAUAAAAGUACGUCAAUUGUAUUGUACGGCAAAACCAAGUUUAGACCAGCAUGUUUUUCUUCAUUUGUCUAACCAGUAUCACUGAAACUGAGGCUGCUUCACAAAAUGAGCUUUCUUGUCUUCAGGUUUUUAAGGCCGGGUAUUAUUUUUGUUGUUUGCCCGUCUCCCCGUGACCUGGCGGCUGGGACCGGCACGGAGGCUGCGCGAGCUUUUCAUGGCUCGUCGACUCGCAAAACCUUACUGUUAAACGUGGCUACGGUUUUUCGGGCAGCACUUGAGAGCCAAUACUGUUUCCAUGAAGAAAAGACAAAAAACGGCAGUGAUGGAAAGUUAAUGCCCAUUACUAACAGCAGGUAGAGGAAGGAGGAAAGUUUUCCAGCAACGCGGGGCUGCUCUAGUCCCAGAACGAAAGAGGUGCUAAUCCCGAGGCUGCCUCUGGUACUGGGCUGUGCUGUUACCCGUUUCCAAACCAGGCUGGUUAAGACUACCAGGCAGGUUUUCUUCCUGGAGUUAAAGUCACAGCUUUGACUGCUGUUUGCUCAUAUGCCUCAUUAACCUAAAAAUAAUGGCCCAGCACAAAGUUAUAUCCAAUGACAACAGAAAAAGGCCUUCCUUUUAUGUUGAGGAUAACAUUUUUUUCCUAAUAAAAGCAUUGGUUAAUGUUGAUAACCAAAGAAUUGUAAACAAAUUGAAUGUAUGUGUUUCUUUUGCUUUGGUUACUUCUGCCUGUCCUUGUGGCUUUCCAUCUAUGCAGUAUUGUGCUGCUUCAACUUUAAAGUCAUAACAACUUCAAUUAAAAAAAUUCCUCUGCACGCAUUUUACUACGUUCUCACAAAGCCUAUGUACAGAGCAGGCCUCAGAUUGCAGAAUGAAAAAGGAUGAAGUUAAUGCUUGUGCAGCUGCCUGCUUGGUUUCAGUUUCAGAAUAUGAAAGGCUGAACUUGAGGAGAAUAUCUAUUUAUUCAAAACAGUUGUGUUUAAUAGGGUUCUUCCUCUGUGGGCGUAUUUCUAUCAGCCUGAAGAUCUGUAAAGAGAUUUCAUAGGUAUCUAAAUCAUGAGUUGGGUCUAAAUUUUGGGUCUGAAUCAAGAGUUGUACUGAUUAGCUAUUUAUGUCAGCAAAAAUGAGGGCAAUUUUUGAGAACAGAGACCUGCAGGAGGAGUGGUAGGUUGUCGGAGGGCUUGCUCCCAACCCUGAAAGGCAGCAGGACCGUCUCACUUCAGGUGUUAUUCGACUGAGUUGAUGUUGGCUGAGCUUCCAACAUCGGCUUAGUUUCCUGACUUCUUGUGAAAGGUUAAUCCGAAAUGUAAAUGCUGACUGUGAGGAGGCUUUUUGGAGAACAUAAACCAGAUGAUUCCCUAGGGAGGAGAGCGGCUGCUGUUGGGAAGGUCAGCGAAAGGAAAGUUGUGCUGGCAGCAUGCAGCAAAAGCCGCGCUGCCCUUCAGUAACUGACGUUUAUUCUGUGAGCGAGAAAAGCUACAUUUCAAAGCCAUUUCGCACUGGAAACCUGGUUCCGAGACCAUCUAACAGUCACCGUCUAUCCUUUGGAUUCAGCUGUCAGUGACCAAGGACAGGUCUGUUUGUUUGCAAAAACAUGACAUAGAGGGAAAAAGACAUUUGACAUGACUGACUUUGUUUGUUCUUGCCAAGGAGGAAAUACUGGUGAAAAAGGCUCCCUGAGUUUUGCAACGCUGCAGCUAUGGCAGUAAAUAAGAGAAGGCUGCAAGAAUAGAGAUCAUCAUCAUCGUAAGCCAGAGUCUGGGGAAAGGAAACAACCAGCUACUUCAGCUUACCGAAGUCUUUCCAUGGUUCUAAAACUGCAAAAAGUAGGACUCAGUUGCUAUACUUCCUUGUUUCAUCCCUAUUAGCAUGGUCACUAAUGUAUCUCCUACCUCUUCGGGAGCAAUUAAAUUAGGAGGUGUGGGUUAAUUUGAAACAUGUACAUACCCUAUAUAAAAAUACAUAAAUAUAUAUUAAAAAUAUAUAUAAAUUUUCCAUGAAGUUCUAGCAAAUUUUGGGUGAAAGUUCAAGCUGGUUCUUCCUUUAAUCUGAAUCAGUUUGUUUGGGUUUUGUCAAAGUGUAGCUCUGGUAACUGCAUAAUAGACUACGCAGUCAGGGAUAACAAUAGCUGCAGCUGCUACGGAUGAGUUGUCUGUUGCCUGUAAAUCGUUUUCUCUAUUACAGGUAGUGCAUGACAGAGGAAGGAUAUUUAUGAAUUACGCAGUAAAUGAGAAGCGGUAACAAACUAAGUUAAAACUAAUCUUCAUCUCAAAUAUACUGAAUUCCCCUUCAAGCUGAUCUGAUCCUAAUUAGCUUGGGAAAAUAGCGCUGUUUGAUGGUAUUGAAAUAUCAUAGAAAAAAGCUAACCCAGUCGGCUACCUUAAUCACUGGUAAAACUGGCUACUGGCAACGGAUUUGUGGGAGAUGUGAGAUACUUGACCUAAUAUUUGCCUUAUAAAAAGACAUAUGGCAUUUGUAGACCGUGUUCCUGACUCUAUAGCAUCAUGAGAUUUGUCUAUGCUGGAAACUACACUCAUAAAUAGACAGCCACUAAAUGGAUGAAGAUGUUCUGCUUGAAGAUAUGAAUUUGUAUUAUUGCUUUUCUAGCUCUAUUUGGAAAUCAGCUAAGCUGCUUUUGGAAAAGCAUGGUACUGAGUGGCUUCACCCACUUACACUUUUGCCCACUUGCAAUGUGCCAGUGACUCAUGUCAGGACACGUUGCCAAUGCGUUAAAAUUGUUUUCAAGCCAUGUUUGAACUUUGGACCUCCCAACAAGGCUCAUCCGCGUCACUGUGUUCAGGUGAUCUGUAACAUGAAGCCAUUCAUUGGAUGUUAAACCAGCCAACAACUCCUUUUUUCUUCACUUCACUCCAGAGUCUCUUCCCCAUCUGGGCAUCACCACGUUCACAGCGUUAUCGUUGAUAGGUACCGUUUGAAUGCGGUUCCUGCAGCCUCUGAACAUCUUCUGAUGGCUGAGCAGAUGAUGCCAUGUUAUGUAAUCAGUCUGGCCACUUACCUAGAAAGGAGCAUCAGAAAAUGAGCAGCGUGCUUUCUGGAUGAACAGCAUGCCUUGCCAAGAGGCUGCUGAUGCGCAAGAGAAAGGAGGAGCAGCAGAAGCAGAGGUGUGCACAGAGGAACGUAUGACAAAACAGCGAUGAGGGACAUGAACCUCGAGGUCAGUUAGCCCCACCUGCCUUCACGUCUGACCACGUUUGCACCAGAAGGAGAGCUGAUGGAAAGCUGGUUCAAAACACGGCCCGAGCUUGAAAGGGAGCUCUCUUGCAAGCUUUUUUGCCUGAGGAGAAAGGACAAGGAGCCUCUCUUUGGCUCACGUUUAGUAUGCGAAUGAACAGUGCUCCCAGCUGAUUUAGGCAAGAUCUAUCUUUGGACUAUUCGAAACAUUUGAAAAUAUGGCUUUUUCCCCACAGGGCAGCCUGCCACAAGGUACCAGACCACAUUUCAGCAGCACCGUGGGCUUAUCCAUUGCUUGCCAGGUCACCCGCACCCCGAGAGAUUCCUGCAGUCAUGACUGGCAGAGCCUAUGUAAGGCCAAUGUGUUUUUUACUUAAUGGAGAUUUUUUUUUUUCAGAAAGCAGAGCAGAAGUUUUUUGGUCUUUGCUGCAUUUUGGCUAGACAAAGAACACGUGUCUGUGCCCAUGAUUGCUGCCGGCCCAGGUCUGUUGCAUCCACGAAUCUGCUUGUCCUCACACCCAGGGAUCCUGAGGGCAGGUUUCCAAAGGGGUAGUGGAUCAAAACCCCUUGCUUUUUUGUAAGGUUUGCUGUUACAAGCACAAAGGAAAUUUCAACUGUAUGAACCACACAGUACAGGACACUGCAAAGGGUACGUCCUCACUGGGGCCGCAGAUGUCGCAGGCUCACUUGAACUACAUUUAAACUGUCUGUUUGGGUUCUCCCAGCAAUGUAACCAGACAGGCAGGCUGCUCGACACGGCCGGCAAAGCACACCCAAGAUGCUGGGUAAAUACUUAUUACGGGGUGUAACUGCGGGCUAAAACGAGCCAGGCCGAUGUCCCCCCACCGCUGUGUUGCUCUCUCUCCAUCACCCUGCCCCAGUGCCUGGGUGGCUGCAGGGCGAGUCAGAUCAGGCAGCCAAGCCCACAGAAAGCAAACCCACCAGAAAAAGAAAAGUUUCCCACCAGACCCGCUUGCUCGUUCGGCGCCACAGCAGCUGCACCGUUGCUGAAUCAGACUCAAGGAUAUGAGCGAUGUGCAGGGGAGUGGGGAAGGGGAGGGAGCCGGGGAAGUGGGGCUGUCCAGCUUCCUGGGAAGGCGGCUGCUGCCGCUGUGAUGUCAGGCUGAGGCGUAAUGUGAAGGCCAUAACCUUGGCUGGUCUGAGCAAAAUUCCCUGAAUCCAUCCCACUAGCACCACCUGAGUCAGGCAGUGUAAAUCCCACUUGGGAACGUCAGUGCUGUCCCAGCAGCGGUGGUGGCAAAGGCAUAUCCUGUGCGUCGUCGGUCACCAAACAUGACAGAGGACUGGGAAGGAUGUGACAAAACAGCUGUCAUCCAGCUGGUGAUGUUGCUCAAGGUCCUUUGAUAUGCAUGUUAACAGCAUGUUGAGACUAAAAAAAAAGCAAAAUGUGGCUUGGUUUUGGGAAACUGCUAUUAAAAUAAUCCUCUGUAUGCAUUUGUGGUUAUAUCAAUUCUGUGAGUGGCUUAUUCCAGGAAAACGUAAUUGGGCCAUAUCAACUCCAACAAACAGAAACUUCCCUUCAUUGUCAGCAAAGCAGCUGCAUUAUUUCUUCCCUGGGAGGGAUGCAAAAGGUGGCACUUCUGCCAGACUCCCUUGACCUGCGAGGGGGGAUAUUUCUUAUCUGUUGGUGAUCCGCUAUCAGCUUCCUUCGUGACUCUUCAUCCAUUCUGCUCUAUUGUUCAUGGCAAUAAAACUUCAUGCAAACUGUA